GUUAGAGGUGUCUGUCGGCGAAGUGUGUGUGGCGGCGUCUUCCAAUUUUUGUUAGCAGUGGGAGAAACAUUUUUUUAUGUCAGCGUCUUCGACUGAUUGGAGAGAAGAUUCUACGUUUUGGACGAUUUCAUCAGUGUGAUGUGUCAGUCGUAAACAUUUUUAAAAUCUAAGUUAUUAGUGAACUGUGAUUAAAGAUACCGUUUGUACCGAUAUUUAAGAGGACAAGAAAAGUUUAGAGUCCCAUUAUCCCUUUGUGCUGGGGUGAGGAUUUAUUCCGGGAAGAAAAUUAAAAAAUUAAAGAGCUAGCUAGGUUAAGUGGUGUCUUGUGUACGGUCUUUCUGGCCUACGGAUCAGUGCACACAGCAAUACAACACAAAUUGUUAACGAAAUAGAAAAAAUCAAGGCUAUUGAUAAGGAAUUCACAAACGUUAUCUGGGGAGUCGAAGUCCGAAAGGAGUUUUGUCAUGUCGUCAACGUGCUCUAGUCUUUAAAAAAUUUUUCUUUUUUAAAAUGUAAUUUAGUAACUUUAAAUUCACCUCCCCUUCAAUUCCGUUUUUAAAUUGUUUCAGUUUCGGCUUAACCGACUCUGAAAUUGUGUUUUUCGCAACUUUGGCUUCACCGCAUUAAUUAGUUUGUCUUAAUUUUAUGUGCCCGUAGGGCUAAGAUUAUGUUGAUUCCGAAUAUUGUUCUCCAUUUAAUUCAACACCUGUCAAAAACGUGUAUUCACACCAAUCGUUUCAUAAUUUAAACAACUCAUUUAAAAUUAACGCCUGAAGAUGCCUUAUCGGCGAAACUAGUCGCAUUUACAAUUUUCAACCACAAUAAAUUUCAUGGGGAAGGUAUGUUCAUUAAAUUUGGAAGAAGUUUGAAACCCCAUUUAGAGUUCACAAGAUGGAUCCCAAAUUAAAUAAAAACUUAGAUGCCUAUUUUAAAUAUCUGUGUACAUGUAUA